GCUGAACUAGCUCAGUCGGUAGAGCAUGAUACUUUUAAUCUCAGGGUUGUGGGUUCGAGCCCCAUGUCAGGCA
rfam:Chlorocebus sabaeus isolate 1994-021 chromosome 22, whole genome shotgun sequence.